CUCCAGUGUAUCUUUAUGAGGAGUUAACUUUUUUCCUUUUUAUACAGGAGAAUGGCUCCUCAGAAGACAAGAACAGGCCUUAUUCAGAUCCUGGCCCCCAUCAGGCUCAGUGUGACUCACCAAGAGGAGUUUUCCCAAGCCUGGAUAAAAUUCUGGGAAGAAGUGAGGAAAACCUGCUGUUGUCAGAUCCAGAGGAAAACAUGAAAAAGGAUGAAGAAGAUUAUUACCAAACUCCCAGCAGUGUUUUAGCUAAGUGCACAAUUGAAGGAUCAAAGCCUGACCCUACAGCUGAGUCUGAUGUCCCUGUGCAAGAGAAGCCAGUGCAGAACAGCCCAGUAAAGGAGAACAUUUAUAUGUCAAUGAAAUCAAUGUAAGUAACAACUUCAUUAGGGUUUUGGAAAUUCAAUGUGGCACGGCAAUAGAGAUAGAGCUGACAUCUCUGG
rnacentral:lncRNA from 1 species